rnacentral:rRNA from 1 species
CAGCCGUAAACUAUGCUCGCUAGGUGUCAGGCAUGGCGCGACCGUGUCUGGUGCCGCAGGGAAGCCGUGAAGCGAGCCACCUGGGAAGUACGGCCGCAAGGGCUGAAACUUAAAGGAAUUGGCGGGGGGAGCACAACAACGGGUGGAGCCUGCGGUUUAAUUGGACUCAACGCCGGGAAGCUCACCGGAUAAGACAGCGGAAUGAUUGCCGGGCUGAAGACUCUGCAUGACUAGCUGAGAGGUGGUGCAUGGCGUAGACGUCU